rnacentral:lncRNA from 1 species
UUCCAUGUAGGUCUCGCCUAUUCUACUCUAAUAAGUCCUCUAUUAUGUUCUUUCUUUUUUAUCUUUUAUGUUACUAUUUUCUCUUCCAAUUACGUUUUUAUUGCACUUUUAUUCUCAAUCUCACAUCUCUUAUGUUCUUUUUUUCAUCUUCUCUAAUCUCUCAUCUCAUAUGUUUUUUUAUGUUUUAUUAUAAUGUCUUUGAUAUUAUUUUAUGAUACUAUUUAUAUUUGUCUUUUAUUCCACUUUUGUCUAAUAUGAUUUUUUGUAUAUUGAAUGAAACGUUUUUGUCUAAAUAUGAUAAAUUUUGAUGUUAUUUAGUAAUGUAUGAAUGACUAAACACAAAGUU